rnacentral:hammerhead_ribozyme from 1 species
AUACUGCUGAGGAGUCCCACAAUAAGACGAAACGGCCGUUGAGUGU